GAUGAACGCUGGCGGCGUGCCUAAUACAUGCAAGUCGAGCGAACAGACGAGGAGCUUGCUCCUCUGACGUUAGCGGCGGACGGGUGAGUAACACGUGGAUAACCUACCUAUAAGACUGGGAUAACUUCGGGAAACCGGAGCUAAUACCGGAUAAUAUAUUGAACCGCAUGGUUCAAUAGUGAAAGACGGUUUUGCUGUCACUUAUAGAUGGAUCCGCGCCGCAUUAGGUAGUUGGUAAGGUAACGGCUUACCAAGGCGACGAUGCGUAGCCGACCUGAGAGGGUGAACGGCCACACUGGGACUGAGACACGGUCCAGACUCCUACGGGAGGCAGCAGUAAGGAAUCUUCCGCAAUGGGCGAAAGCCUGACGGAGCAACGCCGCGUGAGUGAUGAAGGUCUUCGGAUCGUAAAACUCUGUUAUAAGGGAAGAACAAAUGUGUAAGUAACUAUGCACGUCUUGACGGUACCUAAACAGAAAGCCACGGCUAACUACGUG
rnacentral:rRNA from 1 species